rnacentral:rRNA from 1 species
UACGAAGGGGGCUAGCGUUGUUCGGAAUUACUGGGCGUAAAGCGCGCGCAGGCGGCUAUCCAAGUCAGUGGUGAAAGCCCGGAGCUCAACUCCGGAACUGCCAUUGAAACUUUUUAGCUUGAGGACGAGAGAGGUGAGUGGAAUUCCCAGUGUAGAGGUGAAAUUCGUAGAUAUUGGGAAGAACACCGGUGGCGAAGGCGGCUCACUGGCUCGUAUCUGACGCUCAGGCGCGACAGCGUGGGGAUCAAACAGG